rnacentral:rRNA from 1 species
UGGCGAACGGUGCGUAACACGUAGGUAACCUGCCUGAAAUGGGGGAUAACCAUGGGAAACUGUGGCUAAUACCGCAUAAUCUUGCCGGGACGGUGUUCUGGUGAGGAAAGCUGAGGCGAUUUGGGAGGGGCCUGCGGUCGAUUAGCUGGUUGGUGGGGUAAAGGCCUACCAAGGCGAUGAUCGAUAGCUGUUCUGAGAGGAAGACCAGCCACACGGGAACUGAGACACGGUUCCGACUCCUACGGGGGGCGGCAGUGAGGAAUAUUGCGCAAUGGGGGCAACCCUGACGCAGCAACGCCGCGUGGAGGACGAAGGUUUUCGGAUUGUAAACUCCUUAUCUGGGGGAAGAGGAAGGACGGUACCCCAGGACGUAGACACGGCUAAUAGGUGCCAGCAGCCGCGGUAAUAC